UUGGAGGGCAAGUCUGGUGCCAGCAGCCGCGGUAAUUCCAGCUCCAAUAGCGUAUGUUAAAGUUGUUGCAGUUAAAAAGCUCGUAGUUGAAUUUCGGGAUCAGACUGUCGGUCGUGCCUCGGUACGCACUGGCAUUAUUGGUUCCUACCUUCUGAAGAACCGCGAUGUCAUUAAUUUGGUGUCGUGGGGAAUCAGGACUGUUACUUUGAAAAAAUUAGAGUGUUUAAAGCAGGCGCACGCUUGAAUACAUUAGCAUGGAAUAAUGAAAUAGGACGUUUGAUUCUAUUUUGUUGGCUUCUAGGAUCGACGUAAUGAUUAAUAGGGAUAGUUGGGGGCAUUAGUAUUCAAUUGUCAGAGGUGAAAUUCUUGGAUUUAUUGAAGACUAACUACUGCGAAAGCAUUUGCCAAGGAUGUUUUCAUUAAUCAAGAACGAGAGUUAGGGGAUCGAAGACGAUCAGAUACCGUCGUAGUCUUAACCAUAAACUAUGCCGACUAGGGAUCGGAUGAUGUUAAUUUUUUAAUGACUCAUUCGGCGCCUUACGGGAAACCAAAGUGUUUGGGUUC
rnacentral:rRNA from 1 species